UACGUAGGGGCCUAGCGUUGUCCGGAAUUAUUGGGCGUAAAGAGCUCGUAGGCGGUUCGGCAAGUCGGAUGUGAAAUCUCCACGCUUAACGUGGAGGGGCCAUUCGAAACUGCUGUGACUCGAGUCCGGUAGGGGAGUGUGGAAUUCCCGGUGUAGCGGUGAAAUGCGCAGAUAUCGGGAGGAACACCAGUAGCGAAGGCGACUACCUGGCCUGUUCUUGACGCUGAGGCGCGAAAGCUAGGGGAGCAAACGGG
rnacentral:rRNA from 1 species